CAGGUGCGCACCGGCGGAGCUGUGAGACUCGUACCUAUGAGGACCAGCGCUGUGACACAGGUGUAACAGGGAGGAUGGGUGUGAUAGAUACUUGGUUUCAUCAUGUAAUGCGCCGGGAUCAGUGAUACAGCCACUCCUCGGAGACAGCUGGUUUGGAAAUAGUUGAGCAACACUCUGGUCCAUGGAAAGCUACAACGAAUCUUAAAAACGAAAGGUGGCUUAAACACCCCAAACGACGGUUCUGUCAGCUGUUAGUAGAAAAAUAAAAGUUUGAUCUCUAAAACAA